rnacentral:rRNA from 1 species
GACGGGGGGGGCAAGUGUUCUUCGGAAUGACUGGGCGUAAAGGGCACGUAGGCGGUGAAUCGGGUUGAAAGUGAAAGUCGCCAAAAAGUGGCGGAAUGCUCUCGAAACCAAUUCACUUGAGUGAGACAGAGGAGAGUGGAAUUUCGUGUGUAGGGGUGAAAUCCGUAAAUAUACGAAGGAACGCCAAAAGCGAAGGCAGCUCUCUGGGUCCCUACCGACGCUGAGGUGCGAAAGCGUGGGGAGCGAACAGG